AGACUGUGAAGCAAAUGAGUAGCUAGAACAGCUCAUCAAACAGAGAAAAUAAAAGGCUGGGUAGGUCGUGAGAGUGUGUUAUUGCCUGCCGUCUGCUGCCUGAAAGAGGGGAAACAGGCUUGCUCUUUUAUUAGCAGCACUGCGGCGUAAUUGCACCCUGCCCCUUCCUGUACUCCACACUGGUGGGGAGUGGAGGGAGGGAGGGGGGACUUGGGCUUCUGACGUUAUACAAAUUGGAAUUCCCUUCCCCGUGCGCACUCGUUCACUCACUCACACCCUCGCUCUAACCCCGUCUGGCUCCCAGACACUCUCUCUCUCUCUCUCUCUCUCUCUCUCUCUCUCUCUCUCUCUCUCUCUCUCUCUCUCUUUCACACACUCGCACACAUGGUGUCUGCAAGGCUGUUGGGCGCUCCCUCGUAAGACUCACUGCAAUCUUCUGGAUUCUCACAGUCUGAGUUUUAAGAAGGGAGAGUAGGAAAAAGUGCAAAAAAAGUAACAGUGUUUGCCGGUGUUUCUCUCUCUCUGGUCUGUAUCAGUGGGCUGGUCUCCUGUGCCUGCUGUGCUGAUAAUCAGUGUCUCUCUUCAGCUGGCUCAGUUCAGCAGGAACAGGGGCCUGGUCUUGCCAACAUAACACCUUAGAGACACACAUCCACAUCCACACACAUACAGACACACACACACACACACAUCCAUACACGCACACACACACAGAUAUUCAUGCCACCAAAUGUACACUCUGGGAAAGUCUACACUCCUGCGCCCUCCACAGCUGGAACCCAGAGCGAGAAGGUUAUAUACAGUUUAUUUAAGUUAUUAAUGUGAUCAUUUGUGAUAAUAAAAAAGUAGCCUACCAAUUACUGUCUGGCGCCAGUGACUUGUCCUGUGACAUCAAUAAAAGUAAGACAUCAAUAAAUGCUAAAAGGCUCCAAUUCAAA